UACUCUGGGCGGAACAGGUGCUGG
rnacentral:siRNA from 1 species